AUUGAACGCUGGCGGCAGGCCUAACACAUGCAAGUCGAGCGGAGCGGCGGAGGGGUACGUAAUGCCUAGGAAUCUGCCUGGUAGUGGGGGAUAGCGUUCGGAACUGGGAGCUAAUACCGCAUACUCUCACAUGAGACUAGGUCGGAUUAGCUUGUUGGUGGGGUAAGGGCCUACCAAGGCGACGAUCCCUAGCUGGUCUGAGAGGAUGACCAGCCACACUGGAACUGAGACACGGUCCAGACUCCUACGGGAGGCAGCAGUGGGGAAUAUUGCACAAUGGGCGCAAGCCUGAUGCAGCCAUGCCGCGUGUGUGAAGAAGGCCUUCGGGUUGUAAAGCACUUUCAGCGGGGAGGCGUUACCCGCAGAAGAAGCACCGGCUAACUCCGUGCCAGCAGCCGCGGUAAUUC
rnacentral:rRNA from 1 species